AGUCGAGCGGUAGAGAGAAGCUUGCUUCUCUUGAGAGCGGCGGACGGGUGAGUAAUGCCUAGGAAUCUGCCUAGUGGUGGGGGAUAACGUUCGGAAACGGACGCUAAUACCGCAUACGUCCUACGGGAGAAAGCGGGGGAUCUUCGGACCUCGCGCCAUUAGAUGAGCCUAGGUCGGAUUAGCUAGUUGGUGAGGUAAUGGCUCACCAAGGCGACGAUCCGUAACUGGUCUGAGAGGAUGAUCAGUCACACUGGAACUGAGACACGGUCCAGACUCCUACGGGAGGCAGCAGUGGGGAAUAUUGGACAAUGGGCGAAAGCCUGAUCCAGCCAUGCCGCGUGUGUGAAGAAGGUCUUCGGAUUGUAAAGCACUUUAAGUUGGGAGGAAGGGCAGUAACCUAAUACGUUAUUGUUUUGACGUUACCGACAGAAUAAGCACCGGCUAACUUCGUGCCAGCAGCCGCGGUAAUACGAAAGGGUGCAAGCGUUAAUCGGAAUUACUGGGCGUAAAGCGCGCGUAGGUGGUUCAGUAAGUUGGAAGUGAAAUCCCCGGGGCUCAACCUGGGAACUGCUUUCAAAACUGCUGAGCUAGAGUACGGUAGAGGGUGGUGGAAUUUUCCUGUGGAGCGGUGAAAUGCGUAAAUAUAGGAAGGAACACC
rnacentral:rRNA from 1 species